GUUUGUUUAAGAACAAAUUAGUCACAGAGCAGGCAGCUUUCCCGAAAAUAAACCGAGAAUCCCCAGGAAACAGGGAAAAUUGAAGGCAGGCGGGGCUAGCUUUGGGCCGAUGGUCUCCUGGGCUUGGCUCCUGCCUUCUCAGCAAUCCAGAUGCAGAGCUGAUCUGGCGGUUCUGGACCCAGAUUCUGCAGCUGCCCACCCCUCCCCCAGCCGUCCAUCUGAACCUAAGGCAGGAACAACCAUCUCCACCGCCCCCACCCUGCCUCCAGCUGAGGACAUGGCCCCACUGCCCACCGCCUCCGCUCACCGGCUCCACUCAGCCUCCAGCCCGGCCCUUCUUCGCCAAGCGCUGUUCUCCCCAUAUGUCUGAGGGGACAGCCACCCUGACACCUUCCCGCUCCCCACGUCAGCCUGGGAAUUGGGCCGCUCCUGGGCGGGCCGGGCUGCAUAAACAUGUGGUUCCGCUGU